rnacentral:rRNA from 1 species
CGCGGGCGGCGGGACGGAGUGAGCGAGCCGGCGCCGCCGGAGCGAGCGAGGCCGAACGGGUCAAGCGGGCUGGCAUAGCCGAACGGCCGCGCUCGGGCGGGGAUGAGGCGGCGGCGACGCGGCCGAACGGCCGCCGCGCCGCGCCAGACUGGACCGAAUCGCAACGCGACGGACCGCCGCAGCGCACGCCCCUGCACGCCCCUGCACGAUGCGGCCGCGAACGGGCGGGAGCGGAACGAAGCGAAACGAAUAAGCGCCCGCAAGCCUCGGCCGGACGCGUCACGCGCGCUCGCGACGUGCGGCGGCCGCGGCAGGCGGCGAAAGCGCCGCCUGCCGGGCGGCGCGAGUGCCGGAAAGAGCCGGCCCGGCGCGCGUCACGCGGCGAAUCGCGCGCGGCCGCCGAGGUCGAUCGGCGAUCGGCGAUCGGUUACCGACAGCCGACGGUCGACAACGGACAGCGGGUGACCGGCCGACGCCGGAACGCGCGUCGCCGCGCCCGGCCGGAUCGGCGCGUAUCAGAUCGGCAGCAACGUCAGCAACGGCGCGAUCAGCACCAUCGCGACGCCCGCGAUCAUCAUCGUGAGGCUCGACACGACGCCUUCCUCGCUACCGAUCUCGCGCGCCUUCGCGGUGCCCACCGCAUGCGCGGCCGCGCCGAACAGCGCGCCGCGCGCGAGCCGCGAGCGCAGCGGCACGAGCGCGAGCACGAAUUCGCCGACGAGCAUCCCGCAAAUCCCGGUCGCGAUCACGAAGAGCGCGGUGAGAUCGCGCGGCGCGUGGAUCCGGUCGGAAACGGCGAGCGCGAACGGCGUCGACACCGAGCGCGUGACGAGGCUGCGCUGCAGCUCGGGCGACAGAUGCAGCAGCUUCGACAGCAGCAGCGAGCCGCAGAUCGCGACCGCGAUCCCGACGACGACGCCCACCGCGAGCGAGAACCAGUGGCGCUUCAUCAGCUCGCGGUAUUCGUAGAUCGGCACGGCGAACGCGAUCGUCGCCGGGCCGAGCAGCCACAUCAGCCAGCGCGUGUCGCGAAAGUACACCGCGUACGGAAUGCCCGUCAGCGCGACGAACGCGACGAGCACGGCCGGCACGAGCACGAGCGGCGAGAAGAACAGCGUCUUGCGGCACGCGUAGAGCCGCUUCGACGCGAAGUAGAGCGCGAUCGUCAGCGCGAAGCAGCCGGCGGAAAUCGCGGCGCUCGAAGGCGCGGUGAGAAACGAGAGAUCGGGCGUCGUCAUGAUGCGGCCUUCGGAACCGGUGCCAUCAACGAAUGGCAUGAAAUGGGGAAAGGGGAAACCGUGCCACGUCAGGCCCGCGCGCGGCGGCGGCCGGCACGCACGCGCAUCACCGCGAGCCGCCGCUCGAAGCCCGCCGCGACGUCGACCGCGAUCGCCACCGACAGCAUCACGAACGUGGUUCCGGCGACGACGACGAGCGCGAG